rnacentral:rRNA from 1 species
GACGAACGCUGGCGGCGUGCUUAACACAUGCAAGUCGAACGGAAAGGCCCUGCUUUUGUGGGGUGCUCGAGUGGCGAACGGGUGAGUAACACGUGAGUAACCUGCCCUUGACUUUGGGAUAACUUCAGGAAACUGGGGCUAAUACCGGAUAGGAGCUCCUGCUGCAUGGUGGGGGUUGGAAAGUUUCGGCGGUUGGGGAUGGACUCGCGGCUUAUCAGCUUGUUGGUGGGGUAGUGGCUUGCCAAGGCUUUGACGGGUAGCCGGCCUGAGAGGGUGACCGGCCACAUUGGGACUGAGAUACGGCCCAGACUCCUACGGGAGGCAGCAGUGGGGAAUAUUGCACAAUGGGCGGAAGCCUGAUGCAGCAACGCCGCGUGCGGGAUGACGGCCUUCGGGUUGUAAACCGCUUUCGCCUGUGACAAAGCGUGAGUGACGGUAAUGGGUAAAGAAGCACCGGCUAACUACGUG